GGUCAUGAGCACCAGCGCCAAGCCCCGGCUCGCUGGUCGGCAACCCUCCUCCGCGGCGGGGUGCUCCGGGUGACGACCUGGCCGUACCGAAGACGGUGCGGCAAGUGCGGAUU
rnacentral:ncRNA from 17 species